UCAGGAUGAACGCUAGCGGCGCGCUUAAUGCAUGCAAGUCGAGCGAUGAGGCCUCUUCGGAGGGUACAUCAGCGGCAGACGGGUGAGUAACACGUAGGUGACCUGCCCUAAAGCUGGGGAUAACGGAUGGAAACAUACGCUAAUACCCAAUAGACCUGUGAGGUCGCACUCAUAGGUAAAGCUCCGGCGCUUUAGGAGGGGCCUGCGGCCCAUCAGCUAGUUGGUAGGGUAACGGCCUACCAAGGGGAAGACGGGUAGGGGGUGUGAGAGCACGAUCCCCCACAAUGGGACUGAGACACGGCCCAUACUUCUACGGGAGGCAGCAGCAGGGAAUAUUGCACAAUGGACGCAAGUCUGAUGCAGCGACGCCGCGUGGAUGAUGAAGGCCCUCGGGUCGUAAAAUCCUUUUCAGGGGGACGAGGAAGGACGGUACCCCUGGAAUAAGCGUCGGCUAACUACGUGCCAUCAGCCGCGGUAAGACGUAGGACGCAAGCGUUAUCCGGAUUUACUGGGCGUAAAGCGUCUGUAGGCAGUUCGAUAAGUUGGGCGUGUAAGCUCCGGGCUUAACCCGGAGAGGUCGUUCAAUACUGUCGAACUAGAGGACAUCCAGAGGAGCAUGGAA
rnacentral:rRNA from 1 species